rnacentral:lncRNA from 1 species
UUAAAUUGAAUUAAAUUAAAAAAAAUGUAGAAAAGGGAGAGGCCCCAAUAGGAGUCUCACUCCCACUCCCCACGCCAAAAAUGGGUGGGGCCUACGGAGUGGGAUUCCCAAUCCCUCUCCAAGUAAACACUGGAGUAAAAGGAAUCCGCACUCCUCACUCCCACUCCAGAAAGUAACACAACAUAAUUUAAUAAUGUGGCACAUGAGGCACUAUAAAAUAUUCCAACAUAUGUGUGUCUCUCUCUCUAUACAUAUAUGUGUGUGUAUGUAUGUAUAUUUGUCUUUUUUAUACAUUUGUCUUUUUUGACACACAAACAAAUUUAGGAUGCAUUGGGGGCAGCUGUUUCACCCCUUAUAUUCUUACAGACCGUGUUGUGAUAGUGCAGCUGCCCUAAAUACACCUAAAACCCUUUGAUAGGCUUGCCAACAAUUUUUACCUUGCGCAUAGGCAUACACACUCUCUUUCUUUUCAUAGUCAAUGGAAUUCAAGUUAAACAGUGAUAUUUAAAUCGUCAUUUAUAUCUACUAUUGAAUUGGAUAUAAAUCAUUAGAUAUACUGAAUAAUAUAUGUGUGUUGUCAUAUAAAUGAAUAAUUAGUAGGAUUUACUAAUUAUUUUACCAUAAUUAAAUGAAAUAUGCUUUCAGCAGGAUUUUUUAAGAAUUGUUGGGUAGUGAAGUGUUGUGGCUUUUAAGAUACAAUUGUACAAUAAAAACUAUAACCACCUAAACGAAAGUUAUGAUGGUAUGUUUACUAAUUAGAAAUGAGAAUGGAAUUGAAAGAAUCAGAUUCAUUAACCUGUUUACUUCCAAAAUAAAGAGGGGAAUGGAGAUGAAAUUUGAGUGGACUCUAUAAAUUUGGAAUGUAAAAUGGGAAUCCUGUUCCCAAGUGGGGACGUGGGAAUAAGAAAUGACUUGAUAUUUGUACGUUUAGUGAAAAUAAAAUUUUUUAAACUCGUUUAAUAGUAAUAGUAGUAGUAAUAAUAAUAAUAAUAAUAAUUUUUAAUAUUAUUGUUAUUAUUAUUGUAAAUUAUUAUUACAAUAAUAAUAAAUAAUGAUCAUAAUCAACUAAGAUUAGUUUAUUAACUUGCAACAAUUAAUUUCAAGAUAAAGUAAAUACAUCAAUAGCAAUACAACUCAUUAAGAUUUCGAUUCCUAAACUUAAAGUAAACAAUCUAUUUUGAUUUUGAUCCCUCAUUUCAAUUCUAGCUCAUUCCAAAGAAAUUUAGUAAGUGCAUCAUGAGAGUUUAUAAAUUUUUAUUUAAAAUAGAAGAAAUUAAAAAUAAAAUAGAAAACUGCCACAACCUAGUUGCUAGGAAGUUAACUUGAAAAAAAAAACCAACAAACCAUUUUUUUUCUUAAAACAAAAAAAUAUAACUAGAUAAUAAAUAAAAAUCAAUGUUAAAUAAUGCACGCUAGCUCUGCACACACUAGACUACACUCACAGUUUAAGAAUUAUAUGAAAAUGACAAAAUCUAAUGCUAGGUGCAUUAUUAUUUAUCUUUGGUCCAUACACAUUAAGAAGAUAAAGGAGACGAAAGGAAAAAAAAAGGAGUAAAUUGGUAAUCACAAUUUAAUUUACACAUUAUUCAUUAUGUUAUUCAAUAAUUUAGUUAAUAAUUGAACACAAAUGUGAUACUGUUGGAAAUUCUGACGCCAAAUUUAUUUUUUAACCAUGUCCUCUUCAAUUCCAAAUUUUUGAUUAAUUUAUCUUUGAACCAUGUUCAAUUCAAUAUCAACUGUAAAAAUUUUUUGUUCAUUUUGUCCACCAUAUUAAAAUAAGAGAAUAAAAAAAUGACAAGUUAAAAGAUAAAAAAAAUAUAGUGUAUUUCAUUUAUUUUAUAAUGUAUUAAAAUAUAUUCUUUUAAUUUUUUAACUUAUCUGUACUUUACAAAAUAAUAUAUUCCUUUAGUGGAAGGAAACUUAAAUCUGUUAUUACAUGGGGCUAGAAGCGGCAUACAAAGCAGUUAUCUAGGAAGCAAAUGAAUGAAGAUCUGGAAGCUUGGAUUUCAUAGAGCAAGUAAAUUGCACACGGCUGAUUUGUGAAGAUUGCAUGCUAAUUACUAUUGCAUUUAAGUUAAGAGAUCAUUUGCAGGUUUGCUUGCAAUCUAAGAAAUUGGUCACUUCAUCAAGUGCCUUUAUAUAAAGACCUGCAAAUUGUGCUUUGUUGGCUUGAUACACUGAAAAAGUGUGCAACGACGAGCAGCGUGUCGUGAUUCGUGAAUUGAAGAGGAAGCAGCAACGACAAUCAAUAUUCGGCUUUUCAUCUAAAACAACUCUUUAUGCCUUUCCCAUCCUAAUGGACCUAAUCUAUAUUCUAUGGACAUAUUUUAAUAAUUAAUCUCUUCCGUUGAAAAGGUAUUUACAGCAAUGAAAGCAUCUCACAUCAAGAAAAACGAUUGCGAUUCGAGUAUUUGCUAAGUAAAUUUAAUUAAUUGAUUCAAUUGUAAGU